CAGUCGCCACGGUAAUACGGAGGGGGCUAGCGUUGUUCGGAAUUACUGGGCGUAAAACGCACGUAGGCGGCUUGGUAAGUUAGAGGUGAAAGCCCGGAGCUCAACUCCGGAAUUGCCUUUAAGACUGCCGAGCUAGUAGGUGAGAGAGGUAAGUGGAAUUCCGAGUGUAGAGGUGAAAUUCGUAGAUAUUCGGAAGAACACCAGUGGCGAAGGCGGCUUACUGGCUCAUACUGGACGCUGAGGUGCGAAAACGUGGGGAGCAAGCAGGAUUAGAUACCCCUGUAGUCCCUGUCUCUUAUAC
rnacentral:rRNA from 1 species